rnacentral:rRNA from 1 species
GUGUUUGGCACCUCGAUGUCGGCUCAUCACAUCCUGGGGCUGAAGUAGGUCCCAAGGGUAUGGCUGUUCGCCAUUUAAAGUGGUACGCGAGCUGGGUUUAGAACGUCGUGAGACAGUUCGGUCCCUAUCUGCCGUGGGCGCUGGAGAACUGAGGGGGGCUGCUCCUAGUACGAGAGGACCGGAGUGGACGCAUCACUGGUGUUCGGGUUGUCAUGCCAAUGGCACUGCCCGGUAGCUAAAUGCGGAAGAGAUAAGUGCUGAAAGCAUCUAAGCACGAAACUUGCCCCG